rnacentral:lncRNA from 1 species
GAUUAAGCACAUAGGUUCUGGAGCCAGUCUGUUUCUUUCAAAAUCACCUCAUUGCUUUUGAAGAAUCAGGGAAACCCCCAUGAGACUACAGGUGUGAAGCAAGAUAGAAGCAUCAGUGCAAAAGAGUACUGCAUUUCCAAAUAAAGCCACUCACAAUCUUUAAUCAGGCUGUAAAUUUUAAGAAAUCUGGACCAAGACAGUUUGCUCCAAGAGUAUCCCACAAAUGCAGAUCUUCAGAGUGAGAUUUUAUUAUUGGAUUGCUCACCUGUCUGUUGAUUCUCUUACUGAGAUACCUUGGAACAUGGUUUGAAUAAUAUUGCUCUAACUUCUUUCAUGUCAGGAAGCUCUGAGUUGCCAUAGACUUGCGGAAAUGCCUGCUACAUACAUGCGUGUUGAACAAUGAACUUCAUAACUGACAUAUUUAUCAGAGAAUCAGGAUGAGAGAAGAUACUUCCUUUUCUUACUUAAUAAGAAUAGACCUUGGAGGUCUGGACCUGGACAUGAACGUACACUUUUCUAAAGAAGAUAUACACAUGGCCAACAAGCAUGUGAAAAAAAGCUCAAUAUCACUGAUCAUUAGAGAAAUGCAAAUGAAAAUCACAAUGAGAGACCAUCUCACACCAGUCAGAAUGGCUAUUAUUAAAAACUCAAAAAAUAACAGAUGCUGGCGAGGUUGCAGAGAAAAGGGAACACUUAUACACUGUUGGUGGGAGUGUAAAUUAGUUCAACUAUUGUGUAAAGCAAUAUGUCAAUUCCUCAAAGAGCUAAAAAAGAACUACCAUUGGACUCAGCAAUCCCAUUACUGGGUAUAUACUCAGAGGAAUAUAAGUCACUCUACUAUAAACACACACGCAUGCAAAUUUUCAUUGUAGCACUAUUUACAAUAGCAAAGACAUGGAAUCAACCUAAAUGCUCAUCAAUGACAGAUCGGAUAAAGAAAAUAUGCAUCUUCAACCUUUCUGGACUACAGCACCUGCCAACUGACCCCCACAUCAUGGCUCCAACGCUGGCUUCAUCACAUAUCUUCUCUCUCAGUCCCUUUGGCUCUCAGGGUGCAAUAGCUUAACAAAAUUGCUGAUCUAGGUGCCUCAGCAUUGUUUCUUUGUCAUAGUCUCUGUAUUAUCUUAUUUUGAGCCAUUCUUUUCCUGCAAAGAUCCUAACUGAAUGAGAUAACUACUUCAUAAGCUAUUUGUAAGGUUUAAAUAAAUUAAUGCAUAUUUAA